CACACAUUUGGCAGGUGAAUGGUCUCUCUAGUGUGAAUUUUCAUAUGGACAUUAAGGCUUGAUUUAUGAGUGUAACUGUUCCCACACUGUUGGCAGGUGAAUGGGGUCUCUCCGGUGUGAAUUCUCAUGUGGACAUUAAGGUUUGAUUUUUGAGUGAAACUCUUUCCACACUGUUGGCAGGUGUAAGGCUUCUCUCCAGUGUGAAGUCUCAUGUGGGUGUUAAAGUGUGAGUUUUGAGUGAAACUGUUUCCACACUGUUGGCAGGUGUAAGGCUUCUCUCCAGUGUGAACUCUCAUGUGGACUUCAAGGUUUCGUUUUUGACUGAAAGUAUUUCCACACUGUUGGCAGGUGUAAGGCUUCUCUCCAGUG